rnacentral:rRNA from 1 species
AGUGAACUCUGGCGGCGUGCCUAAUACAUGCAAGUCGAACGGAGUGGCGCACGGGUGAGUAAUGUAUAGCUAAUCUGCCCUACACUAGAGGACAACAGUUGGAAACGACUGCUAAUACUCUAUAGUUUAGGAUGAGGCUAUUUUGUAUCAGCUAGUUGGUGAGUUAAUGGCUCAACAAGGCUAUGACGCAUAACUGGUCUGAUCGGAUGAUCAGUCACACUGGAACUGAUAUACGGUCCAGACUCCUACGGGAGGCAGCAGUAGGGAAUAUUGCGCCAUGGGGGAAACCCUGACGCAGCAACGCCGCGUGGAGGAUGACACUUUUCGUAGCGUAAACGCCUUUUGUUAGGGAAGCGUGACCUAACGAAUAAGCACCUGCUCACUCCGUGCCAGCCGCCGCGGUAAUAC